UGCAACUUUCCUCACUCUCCUAGGCGGAGGGCGAGUAAGUUUACUAGUGAUAUAUAGCAUUUCAGUGUCAGAGAAAUGGUGAGAUUCGCCAUUGCCCAUGGGGUAAAGGGGUUUGAAAUUGUCAUGUAUGGUACUUGAAAAUUUUGCAGCAUUUUUCAAUGCUAGCACAUUGUCAUCUACGUGCUAUUAUCUGUAUGUUGUUCAAGUUUUU
rnacentral:misc_RNA from 1 species